UGCAGUCGAACGAUGAAGCUGGAGCUUGCUCCGGCCGAUUAGUGGCGAACGGGUGAGUAACACGUGAGCAAUCUGCCCUUGACUCUGGGAUAACUGCGGGAAACUGUAGCUAAUACCGGAUACUUUCCUCGCUGGGCAUCCAGCGGGGAAGAAAGAAUUUCGGUCAAGGAUGAGCUCGCGGCCUAUCAGCUAGUUGGUGAGGUAAAGGCUCACCAAGGCGACGACGGGUAGCCGGCCUGAGAGGGUGACCGGCCACACUGGAACUGAGACACGGUCCAGACUCCUACGGGAGGCAGCAGUGGGGAAUAUUGCACAAUGGGCGAAAGCCUGAUGCAGCAACGCCGCGUGAGGGAUGAAGGCCUUCGGGUUGUAAACCUCUUUUAGCAGGGAAGAAGCGAAAGUGACGGUACCUGCAGAAAAAGCACCGGCUAACUACGUGCCAGCAGCCGCGGUAAUACGUAGGGUGCAAGCGUUGUCCGGAAUUAUUGGGCGUAAAGAGCUCGUAGGCGGUUUGUCACGUCUGCUGUGAAAAUCCGAGGCUCAACCUCGGACUUGCAGUGGGUACGGGCAGGCUAGAGUGCGGUAGGGGAGAAGGGAAUUCCUGGUGUAGCGGUGGAAUGCGCAGAUAUCAGGAGGAACACCAAUGGCGAAGGCACUUCUCUGGGCCGUAACUGACGCUGAGGAGCGAAAGCGUGGGGAGCGAACAGGAUUAGAUACCCUGGUAGUCCACGCCGUAAACGGUGGGUGCUAGCUGUGGGCCACAUUCCACGUGGUCCGUGACGAAGUUU
rnacentral:rRNA from 1 species